UACGUAGGUGGCAAGCGUUGUCCGGAUUUACUGGGCGUAAAGAGCGCGCAGGCGGUCGGAUAAGUCGAAUGUGAAAGCCCCCGGCUCAACUGGGGAGGGUCAUUCGAUACUGUUCGACUCGAAGGCAGGAGAGGGAAGUGGAAUUCCCGGUGUAGUGGUGAAAUGCGUAGAGAUCGGAAAGAACACCAACGGCGAAAGCACUCUGCUGGGCCGACACUGACACUGAGAGACGAAAGCUAGGGGAGCGAAUGGG
rnacentral:rRNA from 1 species